rnacentral:rRNA from 1 species
UACGUAGGGUGCAAGCGUUAUCCGGAAUUAUUGGGCGUAAAGAGCUCGUAGGCGGUUUGUCGCGUCUGCUGUGAAGUCUGGGGGCUCAACCCCCAGCCUGCAGUGGGUACGGGCAGACUAGAGUGCGGUAGGGGAGAUUGGAACUCCUGGUGUAGCGGUGGAAUGCGCAGAUAUCAGGAAGAACACCGAUGGCGAAGGCAGAUCUCUGGGCCGUAACUGACGCUGAGGAGCGAAAGCAUGGGGAGCAAACGGG